UGGGGAAUAUUGGGCAAUGGGCGAAAGCCUGACCCAGCAACGCCGCGUGGAGGAAGAAGGUUUUCGGAUCGUAAACUCCUGUCCUCAGGGAAGAGAAGGAGACGGUACCUGAGGAGGAAGCCCCGGCUAACUACGUGCCAGCAGCCGCGGUAAUACGUAGGGGGCGAGCGUUGUCCGGAAUGAUUGGGCGUAAAGGGCGCGUAGGCGGCCUAUUAAGUCUGGAGUGAAAGUCCUGCUUUCAAGGUGGGAAUUGCUUUGGAUACUGAUGGGCUGGAGUGCAGGAGAGGAAAGCGGAAUUACCGGUGUAGCGGUGAAAUGCGUAGAGAUCGGUAGGAACACCAGUG
rnacentral:rRNA from 1 species